rnacentral:rRNA from 1 species
GGAGUUAGCCGGUGCUUCUUCUGUGAGUGAUGUCCUUCCUGCCGGCUAUUAACCCGCAGGCCUUCUUCCUCACUGAAAGUGCUUUACAACCCGAAGGCCUUCUUCACACACGCGGCAUGGCUGGAUCAGGGUUGCCCCCAUUGUCCAAUAUUCCCCACUGCUGCCUCCCGUAGGAGUCUGGGCCGUGUCUCAGUCCCAGUGUGGCUGAUCAUCCUCUCAGACCAGCUACGGAUCGUCGCCUUGGUGAGCCGUUACCUCACCAACCCAGCUAAUCCGACAUAGGCUCAUCCGAUAGCGCGAGGCCCGAAGGUCCCCCGNUUUCCCCCGUAGGGCGUAUGCGGUAUUAGCCUGGGUUUCCCCAGGUUAUCCCCCACUACCGGGCAGAUUCCUAUGCAUUACUCACCCGUCCGCCGCUCGCCACCAGGGAGCAAGCUCCCCGUGCUGCCGCUCGACUUGCAUGUGUUAGGCCUGCCGCCAGCGUUCAAUCUGAGCCAGAAUCGAACCCUGA